CAUAAUAGCGCCUUCGUCGGUGCCCGGCGUCCUCACGGAUGUCACCAUGGGCCUAAGAGGGAACACGGACCAACCGUGGCUGCCCCCGCAACUGUAAGCAGCGAGUCUGUCGCCCGAAUGCCACUGGGAAACCGGGAAGGCCGCGACCGAUGCCGACCUGCCAGCCAGGAGACCUGCCGACGACGCUAGUCGCGAG
rnacentral:ncRNA from 1 species